rnacentral:rRNA from 1 species
GCUUGCGGCGUGCUUAACACAUGCAAGUCGAACGAAGCCCUCGGGCUUAGUGGCGGACGGGUGAGUAACGCGUGAGAAUCUACCUUCGAGAUGGGGACAACCGUUGGAAACGACGGCUAGUCCCCAAUAAGCCGAAAGGUGAAAGGGUUUCCGCUCGCAGAGGAGCUCGCGUCCGAUUAGUUAGUUGGUGGGGUAAGAGCCUACCAAGGCAGCGAUCGGUAGCUGGUCUGAGAGGAUGAGCAGCCACACUGGGACUGAGACACGGCCCAGACUCCUACGGGAGGCAGCAGUGGGGAAUUUUCCGCAAUGGGCGCAAGCCUGACGGAGCAACGCCGCGUGUGGGAAGAAGGCUCUUGGGCUGUCAACCACUUUUCUCAGGGAAGAAGUCCUGACGGUACCUGAGGAAUCAGCCUCGGCUAACUCCGUGCCAGCAGCCGCGGUAAUACGGAGGAGGCAAGCGUUAUCCGGAAUUAUUGGGCGUAAAGCGUCCGCAGGGGGCACUUCAAGUCUGCUGUCAAAGGUCGGAGCUUAACUCCGGUUCGGCAGUGGAAACUGGAGUGCUAGAGGGCGACAGGGGUAGAGGGAAUUCCCAGUGUAGCGGUGAAAUGCGUAGAGAUUGGGAAGAACACCGGUGGCGAAAGCGCUCUACUGGGUCGCACCUGACCCUCAGGGACGAAAGCUAAGGUAGCGAAAGGGAUUAGAUACCCCUGUAGUCUUAGCCGUAAACGAUGGAUACUAGGCGUGGUUUGUAUCGACCCAAGCCGUGCCGAAGCUAACGCGUUAAGUAUCCCGCCUGGGGAGUACGCACGCAAGUGUGAAAACUCAAAGGAAUUGACGGGGGCCCGCACAAGCGGUGGAGGAUGUGGUUUAAUUCGAUGCAACGCGAAGAACCUUACCAGGGCUUGACAUCCCGCGAAUCUUGCUGAAAGGUGAGAGUGCCUUCGGGAGCGCGGAGACAGGUGGUGCAUGGCUGUCGUCAGCUCGUGUCGUGAGAUGUUGGGUUAAGUCCCGCAACGAGCGCAACCCUCGUCCUUAGUUGCCAGCAUUAAGUUGGGCACUCUAGGGAGACUGCCGGUGACAAACCGGAGGAAGGUGAGGAUGACGUCAAGUCAGCAUGCCCCUUAUGCUCUGGGCGACACACGUCCUACAAUGGUCGGGACAAAGGGGAGCAAGCUCGCGAGAGUAAGC